rnacentral:tRNA from 1 species
GAGGGUAGAUGGGUGCUGGUGUGUCCUCCGGUCUUCAAAACCGGCGAGAGUGGUUAAGAGCCGCUUUGGUGGGUUCGAUUCCCACGUACCCUCGCCA